AUUGAACGCUGGCGGCAGGCCUAACACAUGCGAGUCGAGCGGAUGAAGGGAGCUUGCUCCUGGAUUCAGCGGCGGACGGGUGAGUAAUGCCUAGGAAUCUGCCUGGUAGUGGGGGAUAACGUCCGGUAACGGGCGCUAAUACCGCAUACGUCCUGAGGGAGAAAGUGGGGGAUCUUCGGACCUCACGCUAUCAGAUGAGCCUAGGUCGGAUUAGCUAGUUGGUGGGGUAAAGGCCUACCAAGGCGACGAUCCGUAACUGGUCUGAGAGGAUGAUCAGUCACACUGGAACUGAGACACGGUCCAGACUCCUACAGGAGGCAGCAGUGGGGAAUAUUGGACAAUGGGCGAAAGCCUGAUCCAGCCAUGCCGCGUGUGUGAAGAAGGUCUUCGGAUUGUAAAGCACUUUAAGUUGGGAGGAAGGGCAGUAAGUUAAUACCUUGCUGUUUUGACGUUACCAACAGAAUAAGCACCGGCUAACUUCGUG
rnacentral:rRNA from 1 species